rnacentral:rRNA from 1 species
UACGAAGGGUGCUAGCGUUGUUCGGAAUUACUGGGCGUAAAGCGCGCGUAGGCGGCUUAACAAGUCAGAGGUGAAAUCCCCAGGCUCAACCUGGGAAUUGCCUUUGAAACUGUUAAGCUUGAGUGUCGGAGGGGAUAGCGGAAUUCCUAAUGUAGAGGUGAAAUUCGUAGAUAUUAGGAGGAACACCGGUGGCGAAGGCGGCUAUCUGGACGACAACUGACGCUGAGGCGCGAAAGCGUGGGGAUCAAACAGG